rnacentral:lncRNA from 1 species
GUCAAUUCAAAUGCCAAAUUCAAUUCAUUUCAUUCAUAAACACCAAUUUCCAUUCAAAUAACCAUCCAUAGCCCAUUGUAAUGCUCAUUACAUCCAAAAAAGAACAAAAAUUACAUGUUGACCAAAUGUUGACUUUGGUCAACAAUUGACUUUUUGGUCAACUUUGACAAAAUUCAACCCAAGCCCUUUUCAUCCUAAAACCCUAA